UCUCCUUGGAAAUAUAACAUCUGUAGGUUUUUUUUUUUUACCUGCGCCGGUUGUGGCACGGUCUUCAAUCGGCAAAUAAAUCCUCUGAUCUUCUCGUGUCAGACAGAUUUCCAGCUUUCAAGCUCUUCCAGGAAUGGCCUUCUGGAGCAAAAGUUUGCCUGCGAGCUCUUGUCUCUCCAGAAAUGCGCCUCCUAUACGCUGUCCUGCGACAGGCGGAAAUGGCCCCGAGACUAUGCAUCUCAGCCGAUUUAUACUUCCAGUGACGUCAGAGCUGCGACGUCUGUAGAGCUGUGCGUCAAAAUGUGCAACCAAAUGGAUGGCCCCAACAGAGUCAAUGACAUAGGGGCCAAUGAAGCGGGGAGACAGUUUCUUAGUCACAGCCUUUAAAAGUAUGUCCCGAGAGGACAACCAAGCCUUCUGUCCUGGAUGGUACACAGGAGCCGGCCGCCACCUGCGGUCGGCAUACUUCUUGUUUUGAUCUGCGGUGCGAAGGAGGGCUUUGGAAGCAGUGCACCAGACCCAUUUACAGCGGCGAAUGUGGUGGCGAAUGGAGGUAACUGCUAUGUAUUUCUCGUCUGCAGAGAACAAAGGUGGUUGGUAGCCGAUAGAGGCCUCAAAUGAUGAGAAGCCUGUAGCUGAUGAAACCUGUGAAUUUAUGGCAUAUUCUACCCAAGGGAGGUAAACGUUUCAGUCCAGAGGGUUUGUAGUGCUCAAGCACCUGAGUAUGUACUCCAUCUGCUGGUUCAUGUGUUCAGUCUGUCCAUUAGAUUGGGGGUGGUAACCAUAGGUCAGGGAUGUCUUGGCCCCAAGAGACAAACAAAACUGUUUCCAAACACGACAUACAAAUUGAGGCCCAAGAUCUGACAACAUAUCCUGAGGGAUGCUAUGAAGCCGAAAAACAUGCUGAACUAACAGCUGAGCUGUCUAAAAUGCUAAUGUGAGCUUCUUUAAGGGAACAAGGUGACAGGCCUUAGAAAAGCGGUCAACAAUAGUAAGGAUGGCCGUCAUCCCUUUAGAGAUGGGCAAACCAGUUACAAAAUCAAGGGCUAUAUGUGACCAGGGGCGCUUGGGAGUGCUGAGGGGUUGGAGUAAGCCAUAAGGUGGCUGGUUGCCUGAUUUUUGCCUAGCACAAACCGAGCAUAGUUGUACGUACUCCCUGACAUCCUUAUGAAGAGAUGGCCACCAAAAUCUUCUAGAAAUAAAAGAGAUUGUCUGGCUGACCUGAAAACCUAGCGGUGUGAAACCAAUGGAUUAGCCUAAAUCUAACAAACAUAAGAACAAAAAUCCUAUUGGGGGAACCAGUGCCUGGAUCUGGCUCAUGCUGCUUGGCCUGAUUAACAAGGUCCUCAAUCUCCCAAACCAAAGCCCCAAAGGUCCAAUGAGGGGGAACGAUAGGCACUGCCUCUUUUCUCAGUGUUAUCAGGCUUAAUAUUUUUCGAGCCAGGCCUAUAGUUCAGUUUAUUUAUAUAGCGCCAUUUCACAACACAUGUCGUCUCAAGGCACUUCACAAAAGUCAGGUACAUACAUUCCAAUUAAUCCUAACCAUUGAAUAGUGCAGUCAGAUUUAGUUAUUUAUUCAAAUUGGAUAAAAAGUUUUUCUGUCUAAGGAAACCCAGCAGAUUGCAUCGAGUCAGAGAUUUGUAGCAGUCCUACAAGGAAGUCCAAGAAGACCAAGAAGUUGUGCACCGGUGAGACCUGAGAAGGUGAGUCCUUAAUACAAGCUGUUUGGUACUGAGGCUCUGGUGGUGGUGCUGCAGUAGGUGGAGGGUGGACAGGAUUCACUUGAGGAGGUCCGAGGAAUGAUGGAAUCAGGAAGCUGCCAGCUGGUAGUGUCAGAUGAAGAAACAGGAAACUUGGGUCUCUUCCAUGAAGCUGGAGAUCUCAUCUCCAGAAGUCAAAAAUCCAAAGCUUCUUGUUUCCUGGCAGGAGCGAGAGGUAGUGAAAAAUCCUUGAUGGCUUUGGUGAAGGCUGAUGGAAGCGUGAGGUAGUUUUUCUAUAGCUCUGUAUCCAGAUAUCCGUGAGUUGUGAUGACAGGCAGGCUGAGCUGAGGUGAGGAUUGGCAUCAGAUGUCCAUGGAGGAAAACCAAAAUUUCCAGAUAAGUAUUGUGAGGUUGUCUAAUAGUUUAUUGGAGCUCACAGCUUUUAUGAAGGACCCUCCAUGUAGAGCUAAGGAUCACACUUAUGAAGCAAAAGGAAAUAAAGACUAAGCUACUGGUAACUAGAAAGCAAACAACACAAGAGGAUACUUCAUUUACGAGAACCAGCAAGCAAAGAAGGGAUGUCUGCCAGAUCUUUUUAUACAGCCAGCCUGAUAAGAAAAUGAGUAUCAGAUGUCCAGACACCACAGCAGAAUGGCUAUGCCCAACUAAGGAGAGAACGAGCAACAGGAAAAGAACAGGUGGUAAAGGUUUUAUCAGCACCUAUCACUUCCAGCAGGAGUGAAGGUGAGCACUGAAGGAUAAUGAGCAAGGAGGAGCGUAAGAGUAAAGCUUUUAGAGAAACCAGAAUUGAGUACUAAGCCAAUGCGGUUUUUAACCUUUCAAGAUCGACAAAACUUGAGCUGAGCAGGUUUUGGUAAGCAUGUGAUACCUUAUUUUAUGUUUAAAACAAACUUCAACAUGUAUCUUCAACAUGAGUGUGCUUUUCUUUCCAGUGGCACAGAGUCAGCAUUAGGUGCUGCUGACCGAUGGCUAGCAAGACCUAAUACAUCACAUGGGUGACAGAUUGGCUCUCUCUCUCUGCACCUGCACACCUGUACAAGCACACUUGUGCACCUGCACAAGUGUGCUUACCCUGUUGGUGACGCAGGAUAAUCAGGUCGGGGCUGGAGUUUCUGUUGUAUGUUUUUGUCUGUGUUGUUUGACUCCUAGUAGGCGCUGGUGCUCAGCAGUGGUGGAGACAGGUGUUUUCCAUCUUGGUGAUUGAGUCCUGGAGUACUUCAGCAGGAAGCAGCCAGCAUCUCGUCGCUCGAGUAUUAGCCUCUUUGUGAACUGAACUGGCGACUACCUGGAGGUUACCCAGGUUGGCCCUGGUGGCUUCGUUCAAACACUAACUACGUUUUCAAGGACCUUCCAAGGAUUAUACCGGUGACUACCUGGAGGUUACCCAGGCUGGCCCCAGUGGCUUCGUUUCGCACUAGCCUCGCUCCUAGGAUCUCCCCAGGAAGGAUCUUCCACACACACCUACCCGACGCCAAACUCUGGAACUUCCCCGGCUGGCUGCUUCCAGACCCGGAUUCUCCAGAGACUAUUCAACCUAACCUGUCCACCCUCUACCUCUCCACUGACGCUUCGCCUGCACUCCAAGCUCUAACCCAAGUAACUAAGAAAUCAUCGGACUUACCAUUGUCUCCAUAUUCACUUCUUCUCCAGUCCGAAUCCCUCUCCUCCUGGCGGAUUGCCUACUCCCUCCUAUUGUUCCUGCACACCAUACCGAUCCAUUCUCCUUAUAUAAACCUUUUUCAAACUUGUACCCAUUUCCCUUGAGCGUGAUUCUGCAUGUGGGUCAGAGCCAUACGUAACACUAUGACAAAUCAAUAGCGACUCAUACCCAUGGAGUCCUUCUUCGAGAGCACUGAUGUCCUACAACAUACCAGAUUAACAUCUAUUCGCCUGUCUUUACCCCUUCCUAAAAACAUUUACAGGAAACAUUCAACUUCCACAGUAGAAUCGGGAUAAACUUUCAGUUUCUAGCUGGAUAGACUGGAUUGAAGCCCUGAGUUGUGAAUAGAAUUUUAUUUGAUUUUGAAAUAAUUAUGAACUUCAAAUGUUUUCUUCCAAUAAAAAAAAGUUGAGUGAUAAAAGGGUAAAGGUUUUAUUUAUUGAAGAAACCAGUCUUGAAUAGGGAACCUUUUGAUUUUUGAGGUUUAUUUAAAACAAUUAGAAUAUGUCAUACUGGGAAAAAAAAGUUGAAUUACCUAAAGCGGAUUGCUACUGAUGUAUUGUUUUGGUAUUUUAUUUCUUUUUU